rnacentral:rRNA from 1 species
AUUGAACGCUGGCGGCAGGCCUAACACAUGCAAGUCGAGCGGCAGCGGGUCCUUCGGGAUGCCGGCGAGCGGCGGACGGGUGAGUAAUGCCUAGGAAUCUGCCUGGUAGUGGGGGAUAACGUUCGGAAACGGACGCUAAUACCGCAUACGUCCUACGGGAGAAAGUGGGGGAUCUUCGGACCUCACGCUAUCAGAUGAGCCUAGGUCGGAUUAGCUAGUUGGUGGGGUAAAGGCUCACCGAGGCGACGAUCCGUAACUGGUCUGAGAGGAUGAUCAGUCACACUGGAACUGAGACACGGUCCAGACUCCUACGGGAGGCAGCAGUGGGGAAUAUUGGACAAUGGGCGAAAGCCUGAUCCAGCCAUGCCGCGUGUGUGAAGAAGGUCUUCGGAUUGUAAAGCACUUUAAGUUGGGAGGAAGGGCAGCUAGUUAAUACCUGGUUGUUUUGACGUUACCAACAGAAUAAGCACCGGCUAACUUCGUGCCAGCAGCCGCCGUAAGAC